UGAUAAGGCACUAAUCAGUGAAUCGUACUUUUAACUGAAUAUAUUUGUAUCCCAUUUAUCGUUAGGUUAACUAGAGUCAUAUGUAAUAUAUCUGAGGCUACAUAGCAAUAUGCACUGUACUGAAUAUCUAAAUAUGAAUCCUAGGUUACAUAGUAACAAGGAAGAGUGCUAUCUUAAUAUUCUGAUGAUGUCUAGAUAUACGUAGAAGAGAAGCAGCAACAACAACAAUGACACAACAGUAGUUAAUCAGCCAAUAAUUUGUAAAAAAUUGAUAAACUCCCUCCGGCCCAUAAUCUUUUCUUUCCCUGAUAAUAAAGUACCUAUUGCUGCUGCCUGCUCACCGUCAUCACAAUUUUGCAAAAAAGUCCCUGAUGUUUUAGGUAUUCAACCCGCAGUCUUCUAUUAAGUCAAUCGAACCAGUACGGGUGAGAGAAAAGAAAAAAAAAUAUGCACGACGACCUUGCCUUCCCUCUUCACCUCCAGCGCAUCUCCACGCUGCAGCGCGCUGCCGCCCACCCGCCAUGCGCCACCGCAGCCGGCCCCGACACGCCACCGCGCACCGCCAACGCCCCUCCGCCAUGCACCUUCCCCACCCCUGCGUCUUUCCAUCACCAGCGACACUUGGUGUCGGCUCCGCACUUUCCCCCAAUCCCUCUCUCUCGCCACGACCCGACGUCGUCGUCCUCCACCACCAGCCCAGCCCCUGCGUGUUCCUCUUCUCCCCGAUGCUCUUCUUCACUUGGUCGGAGCACCUGCUCCUCCCAUCACGCACAGAUCGACGGAGCAGUUCAAUGGUCGUUGCCCAGGCUGCGUGUAGUUCAGUGCUGCUCUACCCCCUUCGACUCAACCACUAGCCCGCGAGGUGCACACCAUGUGUUUGCUGAAAAGACUCGGUGCACUGCAGGACCAUUUUUGCUUUGUUUCACGGUCAUUUGUAGAGAAGAGAUGGCUAUUGAUGAGGUUGAGCUUGAGCCUCUAGAAUUUGCAGAGAAAAUGCACACUCAACAGGAAUUACAACAACAGCAACUGGAGAUGUUAGUUCAAAUUUUAAAACAUUGUUCUGAGAGCCAAUCUGUCAUACUUGAGACUUUGCAGAGGCAGUUGGAGAGUGCUGAUUUGGAUACCAGUCUGUCAAUCUUCACUCCAGAGCAGAUCCAAGGGAUUGUUGAGAAAUACUCCAGUUGACAUAUUUGAAGAGUGGCACCUGUUGAAACCGUCCGCCUGGCUCCCGCGGCGAACAACGCCGCCACCCCACUGCCGAUUCCCACCCAAGCGGCUGUCCUCCUUGCGGUGGUGGUCUUCACCCUCUUUCAUCACCAUGAAGCAGAUCAUCGUUGUGCCGCUGUCCGACACUGGUGAGAAGGGUGACUCGCGUCAAGACAGCCAAGGUUGGGUGGUCUGCUGGCCAGGCUCAUUGGGAUGGUGACUGGCAAGAUGGAGAGGAAUACAGAUGUGUCCUUCACCCUCGACAAUGACACCGGCUGCAUCAACUUCAUCAGAUGCUAACAUAGAGUUGCGGUGAACAAAGAGGCACGAAAGAACCAAGAUGACCAUGUGGGCAGAGAUGAACUUGACGAUAACUGGAAAAUGGUGGGGAAAGGGGAUGGUGAUAGUGAUUAGACGGUCAAAACUUGCAUGCACUCAACACUCAUUGUGAUAAGUGGCCCAAAAUAGUUUUUGCGCGGGCUAUUUGUAAGUCAAGUGAAUUUUCUGGGGGUGCAAGUCGAUUUGGAAGGAAGCCGUGCGGAGCUCGAGGCCAAAGCCGGCAACGACGAGACAGAGCUAUGAUGGGGACAAGGCGAGGAAGUAGGUCUGGGUGCCGGAAAAAUGUACAUAUGUCAUUGGUAAAGAUCCACGCUUCGACCCUUUUUGCGUAUGGGGCAAUGAGAUAUUGAUGAACCAGCAUCAAGUGAGGAAGCUGAUAAAGAUUGUUAGUAAAAUGGGUCAAAAUAUGGCAAUUAAACUAUUUGUUUACACUUUAUCCAAGACAACAGCGAACUGUAUGAUGUGGUUCCCAAAGCAGUUUACUCCAGAUUACCUCUCAAAGUACAUGAUAGGUGGGCAUGCAAAGGUUAAAGUAUUUCUACCAGACCACGAUGAUUAUCUAGAUGUUUUGAUGAAGAUAGUGAAGGAUGGGCGGUCGGCCAUCACAAGGGGGUUGGACUAGAGUCGUGCGUGCCUCUGCAUGGAGGAGGGGACAAUAUGGCCAUUCCACUUCACCUUGCUCAGCAACUAGAAUGUAUUUCGCCUAUUUCUUUACCGUCUUUAAUAGUACAAGUAUACAACUGUAGUUCAUCAUUCUUUAUUUGGUGCUUAUGUAAUUCUUGAACAUAUGUACCUGUGAAUCGAAUAAUGCAUUAGUUGUUUGAACCUGA